rnacentral:misc_RNA from 1 species
UUGGUAAUCAAUCUCAUGAUUUUCCGAUAAUCAUGGGCUUCUUCAAUGAGACAUAUCCCAUGCAUGAAGGAAAAAUCUUCAGUUCCAACAAUAACAUUCAGGAUAAUGCCUAAAAGUUUAUUAAGGGACAAGACACAAUCUAAGGUCAACAAAGGCCAUUACAAGAUCAUAAUGACUUAAUAUUAAAUAAAAUAAAAAAUAGAAAGAAACAGACCUGCCAUAUUCAUCUACAAGCAUG